rnacentral:rRNA from 1 species
AUUGAACGCUGGCGGCAGGCUUAACACAUGCAAGUCGAGCGAGCGGCGGACGGGUGAGUCAUGUCUGGGAAACUGCCUGAUGGAGGGGGAUACCUACUGGAAACGGUAGCUAAUACCGCAUACCAUCAGAUGUGCCCCUAUGGGAUUAGCUAUUAGGUGGGGUAAUGGCUCACAUAGGCGACGAUCCCUAGCUGGUCUGAGAGGAUGACCAGCCACACUGUAACUGAGACACUGCCCAGACUCCUACGGGAGGCAGCAGUGGGGAAUAUUGCACAAUGGGCGCAAGCCGGAUGCAGACAUGCCGCGUGUGGUAAGAAGGCCUUCGGGUUGUAAAGCACUUUCAGCGAGGAGGCGUUACUCGCAGAAGAAGCACCGGCUAACUCCGUGCCAGCAGCCGCGGUAAUUC